GAGCUCCUGGUUCUUCUGCUUCAGACUCUGGGAGCUACAUCAGCAGCGUCCCUUCUCUUCCUUGCCCUUCUCAGGCCAUUGGACUCAGAUUGAAUUAUACCACUGGCUUUCUUGGUUCUCCAGCUUGCAGAAGGCGUAUUGUGGGACAUCUCAGCCUCCAAAAUCACUUUCCCUGCACAGCCAGGCACAUGCCUUUGCAUUUGCUGCCUGUGUCUUGCCACCGACCAGCGUUCCACGUUCCACCCUCACGUCGGCCUCAGAUGUCUGCGCCUCCCUCCCGAGCCAUGAAUCAUCAGAGGUGCAGAGGCUUCUCCAGCUUUGCGUUCCUGGCAGAGGUGUUGUUUCUUCCUAAAAGUGGAAAGGAGAGAACUGCUAAGGAACACUAUUAACAUGCUGACAGCACAACAAUCUUGCAGAGUUUUGGCCUCCGCCGUUUGACUCUAAUCAGGAAAUCAUUUUUAGAAGGAUUUGUCAGUGUAAGAAAACAAGCUCCUGAACUAAAUUAGGAUCUGGAUUAUUUUUUCCCCCUCUCCCAAUCUGCAGUGCGAGGCAGAUUGGUAAGGCCUCACGGUUUUGUGUGUGGUGGAUUUGUUUCUGCUGCACAUUUUCAUUCGGAGCUCCCGAAGGUGUCUGUGUUUCUGAGGACUGCGUUUUUGGAGCAGCACCCUGGGAGGUUUGGGGCUCGUCUCUCCUUCCCCCAGACUGGUUGGCUUCCUUGGCAAGGCGGCCCAGGCUUCAGGACUCUUUAAUCUGAUUGUCUUUUUCUUUUCCUUUUUUUCCUCCAGUAAUGAAUUCACUGUAUGUCUAUGGGAAAUUAAGGUAAUCCAUUAUACUGUUGUCUCCCUAUCUUUGCAGUAGGGAUAAUAGGAUUUAACCCACCUUUGCAGUAUACUGAGUGGCCUGUCAGGGUCUCUUCUUUAGAAGGACAACUUGAAAACAUUUUAAUAAAUGCUCCUUAACUGUA